rnacentral:rRNA from 1 species
GACGGAGGAUGCAAGCGUUAUCCGGAAUUAUUGGGCGUAAAGCGUCCGCAGGUGGUGUUUCAAGUCUGCCGUUAAAGACCGGGGCUCAACCCCAGAAAGGCGGUGGAAACUGAAAGACUAGAGUGCGGUAGGGGCGGAGGGAAUUCCCGGUGUAGCGGUGAAAUGCGUAGAGAUCGGGAAGAACACCGGUGGCGAAAGCGCUCUGCUGGGCCGCAACUGACACUCAGGGACGAAAGCUAGGGGAGCGAAUGGG